rnacentral:lncRNA from 1 species
CUGAGCCAAAAAAAUUUAGCAACACUUUUUUUUUUGAAUUUUUUAUUGGUUGUUUCUGAAUUUUUUUUUAUCAAACAUCAAUGAUAUAAUCCUUAGUUUAACCUGGAUUUUUAAGCAGUCGUACUUUUUUCCAGGUGAUCGAUUUCGCGCCAUUUCAGCUUUGCGCGUGUAAUUGAUGUUUUACCUUCUGUACCUGUACUUUUAAAACGAAAUUUUUUUUUUUUUUGCACUAGCGUUCAGAAACCCACCAUUGGUAAGAAAAACACAUAAACGUUUGAAAAAAUUGCAUGGGUCGUCAAUCAGGCCUCUCCGAAAAUGACUCUCAGAUGGCUCUUGGAAUGGUUGAUGCCGGCAUGAGUGUUGCUGACGUCUUGGCUCGAUUUAAUGUGCAUAAGUCAACAGUUUAGGGACUACAAGACAGAUAUCAACAAAUUGCAACAGCACAGGAUAGGUCGAUAUGUCGUAGAACAAAAACAACCAUCGUCAAGAGAGGAGCGCUACCUUCGCUUUACGUCAACACGGGACAAGUUUUUUGUGGAUACAAGAGUAGUGCAUUGACUAAGGGCAGCUGCUGGUGUGCCUGCCAGUCCUUAAUUGAUGCCCUUAAAGCAUGGCCGAAAAAUUGAUUUUGAAUAACACUAUACUCAUUUCAGCUUUUUGACCCUCCCGCGCUCCAUACAAAAAAAUAUCCUAAUGAAUAUGAGUGUUAAACAUUCAUGUUGCUUCUGACAUGUCAUAAUUCCAUUUUUUUAUUAUUAAAAUUAUAUGUUGUUAUGAUUUUUUAAUAAAAUAAAAUUUUAUAUUUAUGUUGCUAAACUUUUUUGGCUCAGUAUAUAUA